AUCCAGAUGACGUAUCCCGAAAAGAACGAAAUGCGCAUCCUGGAU
rnacentral:hammerhead_ribozyme from 1 species